AGAACGUAAUUGUUACUUCGAUCAGUCACAAUUUCCAAGAAAACAAGGAAAAUUAAUCGGUGUAUCGUGCGUUCGGACACGUACUCCCUGUAAUAUAAACUGCAAUUAACAAUGAAUUAUUGAAAUUCUGUAUACUGUUGAACAAAAUAUAUAAAAAGAAAAGAUAUUCUACAAUAAAUUCAUAAAAAUUAUAUUUUUAAUAUCGAUGGCUCUUAAAGGAUGUCUGGGUUGCGCGCGACUGUAUUUAUCCAUGUCAGAGAAGAUUGAAUGACCUGUCGUAUAAUUUUGUCCAUCGGUGUAUUUAGAAGUUAUCAGGAAGCAAAAUAGGGGAGAAGGAGAGUAGCAAUCAUGCAUCGAUACGGGGAAGGAAAACAGGCCUAAUUGUUGGCCGAGAGCGUGGCGAGAUGAAAGGCGUAGCGAGCAUGAAAGUCUCCGGUCGGUUAUUAAGAAGAAACGACAAAGAAAAAAGGAACAUAAUUAAUAAGCGAGAGAGACCAUGGAAAAAAGCAGCAUCAGGAAGAAAGUUCAAGCGAGAUCCAUUCGACUGAACCUAACAAUCAGAUCCGGAAGCGUAUUUUUAUAAGCGUCUUGAUCGAUCCGAUCGAUCAUUAGUAUAUCUACACUAGUGAUGUGCGGCCGUCCAAGCCCUCCCGAUUUUUUCUGAGCCCGUAAUAUCGGGUACCCGCACACCCCUAAUCUACACACUUUUUCAUGCGGUUAAUGUAAUUAAAGGGAAAUCCUAUUGGAGCCGGUCACGAUUAUAUGAAUCUCCAUCGGUGAAACGUGAAAGGAGUAACGCUCGAAGUGCGUACUCGACAACGUUUGCUUCGCAAACAUCCAGCGAUAAAGCGCUUUAACGAGUGCGUCGAGUGCCUCGUGAGAGUUCCUUCUCCCUCUCUUUUUUUGCCCUCCCCUCGAACCAGAGAUCAUUAAUUAGCUCCGUCGAAUGAAAAACAGCCUCUCGCCUAUUCGGGACCGCCGACUAGGCCGACAAUAAUAAAGCGGGGCAAUUAGCCACUUUUAAUAACAUCGUUUCAUCGAACGACUUGUUUGUACUUUCUUCCUUUUAUAACGAUCCAACCUCAUUGGUAUGCUUCUUCUUUUUUGGUCAGUAACAUCCUAAUGAUUUCGUGCACGUGUCGUUGUUCCGACGUUAAUUACCGUUUAAUUGACCUAAUUUUCGGAAUGCUAUCCAGCAACCAGCGAUAAAAGGAUGAAUUGAAAUUUGCGAACAGAGCUGUUACAAAUUGUUACAAUGCUGUUUCCCUGAUUAAUCGAAGGGAAUUGAUGCGCUCCGGUUUGGGCGGAUGGAAGAGGCAAUAUACCAGUCGUUAGAAACUGAAAUUGACCGAGUCCGGGAACGAGGAGACCGAGGUAGAUUCAUUUAAACGGGACCCUUGCGGAGUAACUUCGAUCGAGGAACGAGGAUAUUACUUUGGUUAGUUAGUAUUGGAUGAUUACUUGAGGUGAUGCAAACAAUCUUUGUGUUUAACUCUUGGACAGCAAACCCUGGGUCGAUCUUGUCCCAAACUUACAAAGCGGUAUACAGGAAUAUUAAACUAAAGUUAAAUAUAUAAUUUUUAAACGAAAGAGUUUCAUAUAAUUGGAAGAAUAAUUUUUAGAGCAACAGUGAAAUGCGGAAUUAAAUUAAAAGUGGGUCUCUCUCUAUGGUCCGCCGUUCGAAAAUAAAUAACACAGUCAUUCUAAAGGGUAGCUUUUGUUUUACAAAACGAAUUUUUGCAAAUAAAUAAAA